UCCUCCCUCUUUCUUCGUGCUUCCCCCCUGCACGUCGACCGGAAAGGCCCUGCUUGCAGGGUACUCGAGUGGCGAACGGGUGAGUAACACGUGGGUGAUCUGCCCUGCACUUCGGGAUAAGCCUGGGAAACUGGGUCUAAUACCGGAUAGGAGCCAUUUUUAGUGUGAUGGUUGGAAAGUUUUUUCGGUGUAGGAUGAGCUCGCGGCCUAUCAGCUUGUUGGUGGGGUAAUGGCCUACCAAGGCGGCGACGGGUAGCCGGCCUGAGAGGGUGGACGGCCACAUUGGGACUGAGAUACGGCCCAGACUCCUACGGGAGGCAGCAGUGGGGAAUAUUGCACAAUGGGCGCAAGCCUGAUGCAGCGACGCCGCGUGGGGGAUGACGGCCUGCGGGUUGUAAACUCCUUUCGCUAGGGACGAAGCUUUUUGUGACGGUACCUAGAUAAGAAGCACCGGCUAACUACGUG
rnacentral:rRNA from 1 species